CCAGGUAAUGUGAUUGGUACUACCACUGAUGUAUGGAACCCACAGUAGACAAUGUCAUGUUGGAUUCUCAAGGCAAAGUGGAACUGGGGUUUCUGUUGGUGAUUGGCGAGGAACAGAUUGCACUUUCCUGAACUGAAAUCUAAUGAAUGCCACAAAGUGAAAAUAAACUGGAGACACUUCAAAAAAGAAAAAGAAAAGAAAACUCACUUCAAGAAACCGAAGCUUUCCUACCCCCCUUCUUUUCCCCUCACUUGCAGCCAACUAAGCUCCCCACACAUUCUGAUCGUCUCCCUGCACAGUGUCUGUGGUGGUGACAACUGAUUCAUGUGUUCAUUUGCAUAUCCCCCGGUGCCAGCAGCAGAAUACAGAACGGGCCUCCUGUGCCGGCAGCCAACACAGCACUGGCAAAUCAGGGAGCUGUCAGAAACAGCUGUCCAUUAACGGAGUUUGUGGAAACAACCAGGAGCUGUUUGAAAAUGCUAGGUGGUAGAAUUUAAUUGGAGUAGCAACUGUUCAAAAUUAAGAUUAAAAGGACCAGUCAGUCAACGUGGAUUUCGUGACACCUUAAAAAUAACGUUUCAGGUUUGAUUAAUGCUGCAAGAAGUUUGCACAUUUCUCUCCUUUGCUGAUAGGGCCUGCGUGCUGAUAGUUGAUUCAGUGAAUAUAUGUAGCAGUGAUAGCUCAUGGGCUCCAGAGGUCAGAUAUCUUAUUCUCUAGGCUGAAACCCUUGUUGCUUUAAGGAAACAGGAUUUUAAUAGGAAUCACAUGCAGAUUGACUACAGGGAGCCAAGCGGUAGUGGAAGAAGCAAAGUUGGCGGUUUUGGAGACGGACGUCUAUCUAUCCACAGUGGGACAAAAAUGAAGGUUAUUGAAAAGAAUCAUGCUUGGUGGAAGAAGUAAUUACAUUUUUUUUUCAAAUCUCAGAGGAAUAAUGCUUUUAUAUUUCCUGCGAUGACCCAAUUUGCACUACGAUAUGCUCCCUUAAAUGUGAUUUAAACAGAAGAGAGGACCACCCCGCCAACCAAAUGUCCAGGUCCUAUUCCAUGGAACCUAUGAACAGGUUGUCCCACAUUGCAAAAGGGACUUCACAGAUGUCGGUUUCAAAAGGACUGGUUGAAAACUAAGAUCUUAAAUCAAUUCAUCGUGUUGGGAAUGGAGCAGGAUAGAGAUCGUUCCUGAAGGCCAUAUUCUAAACUUUGUCUGGUACCAAAACAGAGAUAUAGAUCAAUGGAAGAGAACAGAGGCCUCAGAAAUAGCGCUGCGUAUCUAAAACUAUCUGAUCUUUUGACAAACCCGACAAAAACAAGCAAUGGGGAAAGGAUUCCCUAUUUAAUAAAUGGUGCUGGGAAAACUGGCUAGCCGUAUGUAGAAAGCUGAAACUGGAUCCCUUCCUUACGCCUUGUACAAAAAUUAAUUCAAGAUGGAUUAAAGACUUAAACGUUAGACCUAAAACCAUAAAAACCCUAGAAGAAAACCUAGGCACUACCAUUCAGGACAUAGGCAUGGGCAAGGACUUCAUGGCUAAAACACAGAAAGCAAUGGCAACAAAAGCCAAAAUUGACAAAUGGGAUCUAAUUAAACUAAAGAGUUUCUGCACAGCAAAAGAAACUACCAUCAGAGUCAACAGGCAACCUACAAAACGGGAGAAAAUUUUCGCAACCUACUCAUCUGACAAAGGGCUAAUAUCCAGAAUCUACAAUGAACUCAAACAAAUUUACAAGAAAAAAACAAACAA
ensembl:lncRNA LINC00923 long intergenic non-protein coding RNA 923